GGGGAAAGAAGCGUCUGCGCUGGCAAGCUCUCCCGGCAGCGCCGAGAGCCAGAGCUGCGGUGCUGCUGCGCCGAUGCUCCGUACGUUCGCAGUAGCGGGUAGAGCGGAAGGCUCUGUGGCCAGGGAAGAGCGGCACGGACACGUUCCUGCUCGCUCCGUUGCACCGGAAUUUCGACGGCUGGGUUCGGCCGCUAAAUUGAUGGCGCUACCGGAAGAAAUUUCAGAAAAAAAGGGUGGCUUUUUCGUCGAUCUCUUUGUGAGAGUAUCAAAUCAGGCGGCGGUAAAUACGUAGAAGCAGCUGGGCGUACUACGGCGUGUACCGGACAGCGUUGGCGUGCCGCUCUGCUAGCAGCGGAGAGCCAGAUGAGGAUGCCCGUGAUAUGAGAAAAGCUCUGUCCAGAGAUAUGGAGACGAAAUCAGUUGUACCUCACCCUGUGACACCGGAAGACAUUGAGUAACUGUAAGCUGUGAUGCUCAGUGAAAUUACUAAGAGCGUUAAGUUUCCCGUGCCUUUGCUUUCACUCUCCCAUUCUCUUGUCUUGCGGCACGUCGCAUUUGUUGAGGCCGUGGAAGCGACACCGGGAGCGAUGGGUUGUCAGAACCAGGUCCUCCUGCCUGUCGCUGGUUUUGCUUACCUUCGCCGUCUCUGUGUACCAGCCUG